CGCGUGAGUGAUGAAGGCCAUAGGGUGUAAAGCUCUUUUGCCGGGAAGAUAAUGACGGUCCGCAAGAAUAAGCCCCGGCUACACUUAGUCCAGCAGCCGCGGUAAUACGAAGGGGGCUAGCGUUGUUCGGAAUCACUGGGCGUAAAGGGUGCGUAGCCGGGUUUUUAAGUCAGGGGUGAAAUCAUGGAGCUCAACUCCAGAACGUGCCUUUGAUACUGAAGAUCUUGAGUCCGGGAGAGGUGAGUGGAACUGCGAGUGUAGAGGUGAAAUUCGUAGAUAUUCGCAAGAACACCAGUGGCGAAGGCGGCUCACUGGCCCGGUACUUCGCUGAGGCACGAAAGCGUGGGGAGCAAACAGGAUUAGAUCCCCUGGUAGUCCACGCCGUAAACGAUGAAUGCCAACCGUUAGAGGGUUUACUCACUAGUGGCGCAGCUAACGCCUUAAGCAUUCCACCUGGGGAGUCCGGUCGCAAGAUUAAAACUCAAAGGAAUUGACGGGGCCCGCACAAGCGGUGGAGCAUGUGGUUUAAUUCGACCACAACGCGCAGAACCUUCCCAGCCCUUGACAUCCCGGUCGCGGACUCCAGAGACGGAGUUCUUCAGUUCGACGGAC
rnacentral:rRNA from 1 species